AGCCAUACUCUUAGAAGACAGAAAUUCCAGUGAGUCUGCCUGGAAGAAUAAAAUUUUUAUAUCUGCCCUAAACACUCCAGAGCCAGCAAUGAUGCAUGAGCCUUUAGUUGGCAGCCAGAAAAGAAAAGCGAGGAAAACUAAGAUCACACAUCUUGUCCGAACAGCAGAUGGUCGAGUGUCACCAGCAGGAGGGACACUGGAGGAGAAGCCAAAAGAGCUGCCACAGAGUACUCUUCAAAAAACAUCAAGUGCAGAAACAGAUUGCAACAGUGAAUGCUCCAGAAAUGCAGAGACAGAAGAAAAUCAUAGUAUUACAUCAGAUAUGCCAGCGGUGUCUGCAUUUUUUAGCUUAGCUGCUCUAGCAGAAGUAGCAGCCAUGGAAAAUGUACACAGAAGUCAGAGGGCCACACCUCUCCCACAUGACGGACAGCCAAAUGAAAUGUCUCAGGCUCCAGUGCUUAUUUCCUGCGCUGACCAGUGAAGCUCCACUUUAUUGUAAAACAUUGUGCUUUACCUAAUAUCCUAGCCUUGUCUUUACCAAGGAAAGCUAGUCAGUCCAUAUGAUGGAAACGAUAGACUGCAAGCGUUUAUUGUUCUGAGUGGCCCAGAAUUCACUGGAAGCCAGACGUUAGCAACUUGGGCCAGGUCCUGAAAUCGGAACCCAGUUUGUAGGAUGGUGAUAUUAAUUGUCUAUUGAUGAACAGAAAUGGAAUGAUCCCAGAGCUUGCUUUCUAUUGAAGGCUUUUAAACAGUAAAUAGGUGGUUGGUGUGGAAAAGGCUGCCUUUACUGUUAGCUCAGUAUCUCUUCUACCAACCAGAGAGUACGGCAACUAGUUUCGUAUAAUACCUAGUUAUUCUAAAUUAAAAAUAAAAAAAUUCAAAAAAAA